AACGAACGCUGGCGGCAGGCCUAACACAUGCAAGUCGAGCGCGCCCUUCGGGGUGAGCGGCGGACGGGUGAGUAGCGCGUGGGAACGUGCCCUUUUCUACGGAAUAGCCUCGGGAAACUGAGAGUAAUACCGUAUACGCCCUUUUGGGGAAAGAUUUAUCGGAAAAGGAUCGGCCCGCGUUGGAUUAGGUAGUUGGUGGGGUAAUGGCCUACCAAGCCGACGAUCCAUAGCUGGUUUGAGAGGAUGAUCAGCCACACUGGGACUGAGACACGGCCCAGACUCCUACGGGAGGCAGCAGUGGGGAAUCUUAGACAAUGGGGGCAACCCUGAUCGAGCCAUGACGCGUGAGUGAUGAAGGCAGUAGGGUUGUAAAGCUCUUUCAGCUGGGAAGAUAAUGACGGUACCAGCAGAAGAAGCCCCGGCUAACUCCGUG
rnacentral:rRNA from 1 species